rnacentral:rRNA from 1 species
CGGCUUAAUUUGACUCAACACGGGGAAACUUACCAAGUCCAGACAUAGACA